AGUGAACGCUGGCGGCAGGCCUAAUACAUGCAAGUCGAACGGCAGCACAGGGGAGCUUGCUCCCUGGGUGACGAGCGGCGGACGGGUGAGUAAUGUCUGGGAAACUGCCUGAUGGAGGGGGAUAACUACUGGAAACGGUAGCUAAUACCGCAUAACGUCGCAAGACCAAAGAGGGGGACCUUCGGGCCGUCUUGCCAUCAGAUGUGCCCACGAUGGGAGUUAGCUAGUAGGUGGGGUAAGUGGCUCACCUAGGCGACGAUCCCUAGCUGGUCUGAGAGGAUGACCAGCCACACUGGAACUGAGACACGGUCCAGACUCCUACGGGAGGCAGCAGUGGGGAAUAUUGCACAAUGGGCGCAAGCCUGAUGCAGCCAUGCCGCGUGUAUGAAGAAGGCCUCGGUU
rnacentral:rRNA from 1 species